AACGAACGCUGGCGGCAGGCCUAACACAUGCAAGUCGAACGCUCCAGCAAUGGAGAGUGGCAGACGGGUGAGUAACGCGUGGGAACCUACCCUUUGGUUCGGAAUAGCCCAGGGAAACUUGGGGUAAUACCGGGAUAAGCCCUUCGGGGGAAAGAUUUAUCGCCAAUGGAUGGGCCCGCGUCGGAUUAGCUAGUUGGUGGGGUAACGGCCUACCAAGGCGACGAUCCGUAGCUGGUCUGAGAGGAUGAUCAGCCACACUGGGACUGAGACACGGCCCAGACUCCUACGGGAGGCAG
rnacentral:rRNA from 1 species